rnacentral:rRNA from 1 species
UACGUAGGGGGCUAGCGUUGUCCGGAAUCAUUGGGCGUAAAGAGCGUGUAGGCGGCCCGGUAAGUCCGCUGUGAAAGUCGGGGGCUCAACCCUCGGAUGCCGGUGGAUACUGUCGGGCUCGAGUACGGAAGAGGCGAGUGGAAUUCCUGGUGUAGCGGUGGAAUGCGCAGAUAUCAGGAGGAACACCUAUUGCGAAGGCAGCUCGCUGGGACGUUACUGACGCUGAGACGCGAAAGCGUGGGGAGCAAACAGG